CUCAUCCAGAAACUGGGCACUGAACACAAUAGUUUAGGAUUCAUCUAUCGAAGGGAGUUAUGUUGGAUAGAGGCAAACCGCUCGUGGGAGUGGUCAGGUCCAAAAAUCACAAUGGAACGCCCGAUGGCGCCCACGGGAGCUUCCAGGGGAAAGUUGGAGUCGGUCAGGACAACGCGCUCACCUCCAAGAUCUGGAAAGCCAUACGGGCGCCCACAUCGCCAACGUAGCAGCGCAGCGGAUUAUCCGGACUGCACUCCUGCUCAUAGAGAUCCAGCUGAAAAGGAGUGAUUUUUUGUAUAUAUUAAUAUCCUUUAAAUAUGAGUGGAGAACAUACAUUCAGGGGAUCCGCCAGCUGUGUAUAGUAUGGAUUCCAAACAUAACCGCCAGCCACACAGCGCGUAAUUGUGGGCUUUACGGCUGCAUCCACGCCCACGGGAUUAACGAAGAUCUGCCAGUUGUGGUUUCGCGUAGAGUUGCGAUCGUUUUUGCCCGGAUGCCGUAGCUUAACCUCGAUCACCGUCUCCGACUGGCUGCCAUCGUUGUGGAUGAGCUGCGUCAUCUUAAUGUAACCAUAGGCGUAUCCCGUGGGAUGAUGGAACGAGGCAAUGGCUCUCAGUUCCCUGGCCUCACUGGGACUGUAGCCACGCUCCAGAGUGCUAAAUUUACAGGUUAAGUUAAAUGAAAAUCUCAACUAAUUAUAUUAAUCUCACCUGCAAGCCCAUCGAGCAUUCUUCUGCUUCUUCUGAAUAACCACAGAUCUGCCAAUGAUGCUGUUGUAGCCGAAAAGUGGAAGAUUCGUGUCGUUGUAGGAAUCCUCGAACUGGGUUGCUCCCUCAAGACCUCCGAACUUUCCACUCAGAUCGCCCAUCUCAUACUGAUCGGUGGUGCCCCUCUUGGGAGGUGGUGAUGACUUUGGACUGACGUCGAAGGGAUUCCAGUGACCAUAUAGAGUGGAUGCCUCGCAGGGAAAGGCCAAGUUCGCUUCCACGGGUGUCUAAAACACAGAAGUCCCUUCAGUUGCACCUCCACAUUGCUGACAUCGUACUCCGAUUGCUGGGUGAUCUCCACGCGGCCGCUGACUGUCAACGAGUCUCCAUUUGCGUACCACUCCUUGGCCACCACCUUCCGCCGGAAAUGACCAAUCACGGCGGAGCAAGCCAAUCGCUCGCCUCUGGCCUUGGGACCACUAUCCUCGUAGAUAACCAGCGACUUACCCAGGAUACUGUGUCUGCCGGACAGUGGCAGAUUGCCAUCCACAAACAUUUUCCUACUUAUUUUCUGGGCCACUCGUCUGCCGCCAGCGAUGGUCAGGGUUCCCGAUCUGGCAUCCAUGGCGCCCACUCGGCACAUGGCGGGUAUGCUGGGUUGGCAGAAGUCGUCCACACUGCGAUUGCCCCAAUCCACGCGGAAGGGAUUAUACACAGGUCCUGCGGAAAUGCAUCUCUGCUGCCAGUCAUAGAAGUCCUUGCCGGGUGCAUUGCUAUGGAUUGCCCAGCGAUGAUCGUGCGUGGUAUUCUGCGUGGAGCCGUCCGCCUGGAUGAGGUACUCGAAUAGCACGCUGGUAUCCUGCCAAGGCUGCUCCGCCGGCUGCCGGAAUAUGACACGACCCACCACAGGAUAGCGGAACAGGACCUAAAAUACAAGCGGGAUUUGGGAUUUAGGAUCAAAUAUUACUUCAUCUACCCACCUGAGCCGUAACCAUGUUCUGCUGGUAGAUCCCAUUUCGUUGGUAUUGACUUAGGCUCGAACAGCCCCAGAUCAUCUUUGUAAUGUCCGUGACAUUCGAUCGAUUGAAGGUGUAGAUGACCAGACUCCUUUGGGCAAUGCUCUGGCGUCCUUGCAGGGGCAGGAAUACGUCCCAGUAGAGGCCAUUCAACUCGGAACUCGUGCCGGGCAAGACAUACUGAUGCCAGUAGCCUUUAUUGCGACCCUGCAGCUUCCCGGAGAGAUCGCCCACGGGAUACUGCUCCUGGGUUCCGUAGCCGGGUGGUGGUAUAUUCUCGUUUAGCUCCCGCGGAUUAUGCAUGUCCCCGGUGGUCAGACAGUAGUCCUCGUGACCCAUUCUCGAGGGCACCGGCGGCAGGCUGUGAAUCCGAAAGGCGGCCACAUCUUCGGCGAACUUGCGACUCACAUGCUGCGAAAGCGGUGCUUCCAAGGUGAAAUUGAGGAAAGUGGGGUCGAACUUGGAGCGCUGCAUGAAGGUAACCUCUCCCUUGACUCCACCCGAGUUGAUGAAAGUUCUGCGGUUCAGAAAGAACAAUGGUUAUACUUUCAAACGGCUUGGGAUGUAAAAACCACUUACUUGUGGGUCAAAGGUUGCACAUGGCGAAUCUUCGUGCACGCGAGGUACGAAUCUGGAUGUUGGUUGUCAAAAAGUACCAAGUAGAGAGUUCUAUGCGGAAUGGUGAGAUCCGAGGGCAGCAGCGCCAACUGGGCAUCCCUGAAAACGCUGCGUUGUGGCGCACGAAGGGCAUUCUUGGCCACUCCAAUCCUGCCGAGACGUGCGUCCAGAUCGCCAAUGCCCUUGCCAGCGCCACUUCCUUGGGGAUCGAACACCUGCUGCAGGAAGUUGCAGUUGUCCUCCGUGCGAUGGUGGUCAUGCUUGAAGAUGUCCGUCACAUAGAUCUUCCAGUGGUGCUGGGUGAACGGUCCAGCCUGACUUCUGUCCUCCUCCAGCGCAGCUGGUUGCGCCCUGAUGUGGUAGAGAUCCGAGUAGAUUAGUGUAUCCCCAAUAGCUCCCUCCGCCGGCGCCAGCCAGCGGAAAUGGACGGAUCCGGCCACCGGAGUAUUAAAACGUGCCUCUGCCAUGUGCUCCACGGAACUCUGGAUGGUGGUGAUGGUGGCACAGAUCCGUGCAUUCGCGUUGACCUCUGUGAGCAGCAGUGACUUGCCCCAGAUGCCGCGAUCCCCAAUCAACUGCAUGUUUCGCUCCCACGUGGAAGUCUCAUUGCCGGGCAGUACCAGGUACUCCAAGUCCUCAUCGAAGGACAGCACCUGCGAUCCCAAGCGACUCAGUUCGCAGCGCUCGUCGGGAUCAGUGUUGGAGUAGUCCACGGGGAAGCGACGUACUGCCCAACUCCAGACCUGGUCGGGGUACUGCAGUGUGGCCUCCAGAUUGGCCUUGAUCUCCACCGUGGUGGCAUUCAUUUGCCGAAAGGUGAUCUCUCCGUGCAGACCUCUUUGCGAGAUGUAGGCGAUCAGAUGCUGUGCAUCAGCUGAGAGGCACGAAAACGACAGUGAGAGUGGGCCAUCAUGAGUCAGGUGAGAUAUCACAAAGGUGCACAGCGAGAAAUUUAAAUGAAUAAAAUAAAUAUAUAUCAUUAGAGAUGCAAAUUUAGUUAACUUCCAAUCAAAAUAUGCAGCAUCCGGCAUAAGUAUUUUGUUCACCCUGAACUUAUUUAAUAACCUGUGAUUUCUCUCAGUGCACUCGAGAGUGUGGUGAGAUAUCUGAGACAGAGUCUGAGAUACUUUCGUUUUCUGUGGCCACGCAAUAUCUGCAUACAAUGCACGGAUAACCGAUUCCCAGCACUCACCGCCACUCAUUAGUGAUGCAAUCCAGCAGACGGAAGCCAGCCACAAAAGCUGACCACCUGGAGCCAUGGUUCUGGUGCUGGUUCUGCAGCUGGUUGUGGUUCUGGUUGUGGUGCCCACGGAAUAACCAGAUUCCUAGAAAUGCGCUGUUCGAAUGGAAAAGUGCUGUGGCAAUGGCGAGCGUGGCUGACUUUCACAUCGUAGUGCGCAUGCGUGCGCCUCGAAACUCGACUGGAAACUGGUAGCUGCUCGUACUACCAAGUCAUUUCGUGUUCGGUUUUGGCCAUCGACUUGGCCAAGUGUGGGGAGUUUCCCACUGCGCUCCACCGCCUCGCUGGCUCCCCAGCUUUAUCGCUGCUUUUGUUUUGACCUGGAACUGGUUUCCGGCUUCGCUCAGCUGAGUCAGUUGUGCAGUAAGUACAAGUACCCCCUCCAAAAUAAACCCCUUCCCUGGGAAAGUCAAACUCCAAGGGCUUUGUUGUUUUUUCAAGACGACUCUCUUGUGCUUUAUUCCAAGACUUCGUCAUCGUAUCAUCAUCUAGUUGUGUUGUAUAAAAACAGUUACUUGUUUACUAUUUUUAGAUGGUUUUUUUUUUUUUGUUUGUUAUUCUUUCGUUAAUAUUCCUGACCGGGUUAAAAGUUUUGUGAAUUUUCUCAUCUUGCCGUGUGUAGCUUACAUUAUACUGAAGUAAAGAUUCGAUUCGCGUUUAACAACUUGUUGCAUGUUGCAUUUUGAAAUGGAUUGUAGUGUGCGUGUAGAUGUGAGUGUGUGCUCGUGUCGAGUAUUGAGUGUUAUGUGUUGAGUUCUGAGUAUUAGAAGUACAUAAAUAUAGCAGUAUAUAGAGGCCUCCUCCGAUCAGCCUAGGUACUAGUGGUACCGGGUACCUUAUUCAAACUAAAAACCCCCCCGCCCGUCUACUUCCCGGGGUAGGAGGAUCAACCUGGAAGCUUCGAAACGCAUUAACUAGAAACACUGGGUUAUUUGUUCGUAUGUUUCUUCAUAUUUCAGAUAUCAUUUUGGGUUGUUGUUUGUUCGUUUUUGGGUGUUUUAUAUCGCUGAUAGUUCAUAAGCAGAAAGUUGAAGUGGUGGUGGUGGUAAGUAGUAAUGUAAUAUAAAUUCGCAUUAACAAUUUGAGUGAAUGAACUUAAUGUUUCUCUGUUAUUAGCCUAACUCUCGAUAACUUGCAAUAAUAUUGAUAACUCAUAACUGAUAAGUAAGUAACGAACGAUAGAUAUGCAUAACGAUAAAUAUUUUGUGAUAGUAGGAUAUAUAUUUGGCUCUCAGUUAAAAUGUUCCCUAACAAUAGUUUUGCUAUAGGUUUACCUCUCUCUCUCCUGGUCCUGCGAGAUUUCUCAAACGAAAAACAUUGUAACUCACAAAACUGGCUAAAAAAUUCAUAGUCAUAAUCAUAAUCAAAGUGAACUCGUGGGCACAGGACUAACGAAUCCAGCCUGGCUACCCAUCAACAUCGUCUUCCUCCUCCCUACAUCAUAAAUCAUACAUUAUACAUCAUCAUACAUCAUAUAUCAUACAUCCUCAUUUCGAUUUCGAUUGCGAUCUCGAUCUAGAUCUCGAUGUGGUAUUCAUCACUCUUUAGUACUUCAACGGACAGCGAUAUAAAAAUAGACACGGCUUGUUUGUUGUUUUUAAGCUUUUUUUGUUGAUUUUAUAGGUGUUUUAAAUAAAAUAGAUAGCAUUUGUUUUAUAAAUUUUACGUGUAAAAUUUAACAGUAAAUCAACUAGAAAACUACGCGUCAGUUCUUGCCGUGACAGUGUGAACAUGAUCGAUCGUAAGUAUCCCUAACUAUGAUGGACAGAUACAUGGUAAAUGGUUCUGAUCGCUACCAAAUGUUGCUGAAGAAGUUCUUUUUUCAGUUUGAUCGGAUGUUGUUGAUCUUGUUGGUGGUGUUGUUGUUGUUGUUGUUGUUUGUUGUUCUUGGUACAAGAUACUUGGUACUUGAUACUAGAUACUUGAUACUUGGUGAUGGUUAACAAAAGAGAGAUUACAAGAUACUGAGAAUCUACAUAUGUAAACGAGCGUUUCUUUUAAUUACGUUUAUUAUUACUGAUUUGACUGAUUGAUUUAACGUUCUGAUUCUGGCUGUAAUAUGGAUGUUGAGUUAGAAGUUAGGAUGUGAUCGGAUGCGCCUUAGGCGGCCUCCUCCUCCUCCUCUUCACCCUUGCCGGUGAGCAUCUCGAUCAGGGCGGCGGUAUCGAUCUGGUUCUUGUCGUCGACCACCAUCUGAUCGUAGGCAUCAUCAACCUCCUUCAUGGUGAACUUGUCACCGAAGUUCAUGAGCAUUUCGCGGAAUUUGUCACCGUCGAUGAGACCAUCGUUAUCGAAUGUUUUGAAGGCAGCAAUAACAACUUCGUCUUCAUCGUUGGCACCGGAGGUGGCCAUGCGGUUGGCGAACAGGGUCAGCAACUGGGUGAAGUUGAUCGGACCCGAGGCCUCGCCCAGCAUGGCGUCCAACUCCUUGUCGUUGGCGAUCUUGCCGACGGAG